CAGAGAAUAGUUUAAUUAAAAUGUUAAUUUUGGAAAUUAAUGAUGGGGUAAAAUCUUUUCUCUGA
rnacentral:tRNA from 1 species